rnacentral:rRNA from 1 species
GACGAACGCUGGCGGCGUGCCUAAUACAUGCAAGUAGAACGCACAGUUUAUACCGUAGCUUGCUACACCAUAAACUGUGAGUUGCGAACGGGUGAGUAACGCGUAGGUAACCUGCCUGGUAGCGGGGGAUAACUAUUGGAAACGAUAGCUAAUACCGCAUAAUAUUGAUUAUUGCAUGAUAAUUGAUUGAAAGAUGCUAUUGCAUCACUACCAGAUGGACCUGCGUUGUAUUAGCUAGUAGGUGAGGUAACGGCUCACCUAGGCGACGAUACAUAGCCGACCUGAGAGGGUGAUCGGCCACACUGGGACUGAGACACGGCCCAGACUCCUACGGGAGGCAGCAGUAGGGAAUCUUCGGCAAUGGACGAAAGUCUGACCGAGCAACGCUGCGUGAGUGAAGAAGGUUUUCGGAUCGUAAAGCUCUGUUGUAAGAGAAGAACGGGUGUGAGAGUGGAAAGUUCACACUGUGACGGUAUCUUACCAGAAAGGGACGGCUAACUACGUG